UCGGUUAGGCUACGAGUAUAAAUUCGAAAUUUGUUGAUGACGCACAACUACCUUACAAUCAGCCGUACAACAGAUAUAUGAUACAUUAUAUACAAGUACAUUUUACACUAUGCAUUUUAUGCUCAAUAUUUUUCAUAUCUAAAAAUCCCUACAGCACGAUAUAAGUGCUGAAAGUUUCCUUGCCCGCUGUCAUGGUAUUACUGUGCUCCGUACAUAACUUCGGAGUUCAAAUUUAAUUUUAUAUGGUUUUCUACUGCAGAGUUCUAAGGUUGACUGCCCGUUGAACACACAAUAAAUAAAUAAUUAAUCACAAAAAUAAUCUUCAAUGUACGCUGAUUUUGUCAAUAAUCGUUUUGAAUGCAUGAUAAGUAAUUCCAGUUUUGGAAUAUAUGAGUGCCGUGAAAUGAUACUGAGAAUCUAAAAUCAUGUUUAGUAAUUUUAAACGUAAAGCUGACAUUUCUUCGACCAAGGAAAAGCUACCAAUAUAAAUGUAUAAUACACAAUGAUAUUGCGGUCUUGCAGUCCACAUCAAUUAUGAAAUUGUUGAUAAAAAAAGACAAGUAGUGGAGAAGAAAAAAAUUAAUUAUGUAGUAUUUUCUUAACGGCUAUCUUCGUACAGUGGAUUUACUCGUAAAGAUGUCAUAGCAUAACGGAUAUUGGUAAAAAAAAAAAGAAGAAAAAAAAUGAUUAUUAACAUUUUUCUGAAA